rnacentral:rRNA from 1 species
GACGAACGCUGGCGGCGUGCUUAACACAUGCAAGUCGAACGGAAAGGCCCUGCUUUUGUGGGUUGCUCGAGUGGCGAACGGGUGAGUAACACGUGAGUAACCUGCCCGUGACUUUGGGAUAACUUCAGGAAACUGGGGCUAAUACCGGAUAGGAGCUCCUGCUGCAUGGUGGGGGUUGGAAAGUUUCGGCGGUUGGGGAUGGACUCGCAGCUUAUCAGCUUGUUGGUGGGGUAGUGGCUUACCAAGGCUUUGACGGGUGGGCGGCCUGAGAGGGUGAACGGCGACAUUGGGACUGAGGUACGGAGCAGACGCCAACGGGAGGCAGCGGUGGGGAGUAUUGCACAAUGGGCGGGAGCGUGAUGCGACGACGCCGCGUGCGGGAUGACGGCCUUCGGGUUAUGAACAGCUUUCGCCUGUGACGAGGCGUGAGUGACGGUAAUGGGUAAAGCAGCACCGGCUAACUACGUG